UUUUGUAGUGGCAAUGGACUCUGCCUGACCUCAUUACGUCGAACCGCGAUCCUUCGGGGCGCUGAUGAUUCCUACCUCGCA
rnacentral:ncRNA from 1 species